AAGAAAUUAGUUAAAUUAUAACAUUAAAAUGUCAAUUUAAAAUAACUGAAAAAGUAUUUCUUG
rnacentral:tRNA from 1 species